UUAAGGCCAUUUAAGAACCUUGUCAUAGUAGCUUUCCUAUCCUCUUCAAUAUUAGCCCUUAUCAUGGCUAUCUCCAUCUUUUUGUAGUAGUCUUCUACACUUUUGUUCCCUUGUAUAAGGCCUUACAAUUUUUGAUGUAAGUCCCUAUAGUAGUGAGUAGGAACAAAGCACCUUCUCAUGAUAGCCUUCAUUUCGGUCCAAGUGGAAAUAAGUCUCU
rnacentral:lncRNA from 1 species